rnacentral:rRNA from 1 species
UACGUAGGGGGCAAGCGUUGUCCGGAUUUAUUGGGCGUAAAGAGCGUGUAGGCGGCCAGGUAGGUCGGUUGUGAAAACUAGGGGCUCAACCUCUAGACGUCGACCGAAACCAUCUGGCUAGAGUCCGGAAGAGGAGAGUGGAAUUCCUGGUGUAGCGGUGAAAUGCGCAGAUAUCAGGAAGAACACCCGUGGCGAAGGCGGCUCUCUGGGACGGUACUGACGCUGAGACGCGAAAGCGUGGGGAGCGAACAGG